AUUGAACGCUGGCGGCAGGCUUAACACAUGCAAGUCGAGCGGAGAUGAGGUGCUUGCACCUUAUCUUAGCGGCGGACGGGUGAGUAAUGCUUAGGAAUCUGCCUAUUAGUGGGGGACGACAUUCCGAAAGGAAUGCUAAUACCGCAUACGUCCUACGGGAGAAAGCAGGGGAUCUUCGGACCUUGCGCUAAUAGAUGAGCCUAAGUCGGAUUAGCUAGUUGGUGGGGUAAAGGCCUACCAAGGCGACGAUCUGUAGCGGGUCUGAGAGGAUGAUCCGCCACACUGGGACUGAGACACGGCCCAGACUCCUACGGGAGGCAGCAGUGGGAAUAUUGGACAAUGGGGGGAACCCUGAUCCAGCCAUGCCGCGUGUGUGAAGAAGGCCUUAUGGUUGUAAAGCACUUUAAGCGAGGAGGAGGCUACUGAGACUAAUACUCUUGGAUAGUGGACGUUACUCGCAGAAUAAGCACCGGCUAACUCUGUGCCAGCCGCCGCAGUAAGAC
rnacentral:rRNA from 1 species